rnacentral:rRNA from 1 species
CGUAACACGUAGCUAACGUGCCCUCUCGCUGGGGAUAACUUCGGGAAACCGAAGCUAAUACCGAAUGAUCUGAAAGAGUCUGCGGACUUUUUUGGUAAAGCCUUCGGGCGCGAGAGGAGCGGGCUGCGGCUGAUUAGCUUGAUGGUGGGGUAAAAGCCUACCAUGGCUACGAUCAGUAGCUGGUCUGAGAGGAUGAUCAGCCACACUGGAACUGAAACACGGUCCAG